ACAUUGGUGGUUCAGUGAUAGAAUUCUCACCUUCCAUGUUGGAGACCUGGGUUCUAUUCCCGGCCAAUGCA
rnacentral:tRNA from 1 species